rnacentral:rRNA from 1 species
GAUGAACGCUGGCGGCGUGCUUAACACAUGCAAGUCGAACGAGCUUUAUUACUACGAUCCCUUCGGGGGUGACGGUUUUAAAGCGAGUGGCGGACGGGUGAGUAACGCGUGGGUAACCUGCCUUGUACAGGGGGAUAACAGUUGGAAACGGCUGCUAAUACCGCAUAAGCGCACAGUGCCGCAUGGUAUAGUGUGAAAAACUCCGGUGGUAUAAGAUGGACCCGCGUUUGAUUAGCUGGUUGGUGGGGUAACGGCCUACCAAGGCGACGAUCAAUAGCCGACCUGAGAGGGUGACCGGCCACAUUGGGACUGAGACACGGCCCAAACUCCUACGGGAGGCAGCAGUGGGGAAUAUUGCACAAUGGGCGAAAGCCUGAUGCAGCGACGCCGCGUGAGCGAAGAAGUAUUUCGGUAUGUAAAGCUCUAUCAGCAGGGAAGAUAAUGACGGUACCUGACUAAGAAGCACCGGCUAAAUACGUG